UAUUUAUAUCAGAUCAAUCAUGGGCUAAAAAGCUUUCAUGGACUGCCUGGUAAUAAAACAAUUUUUUUUUUUUUUUUGAAUCUCACUCUGUAGCCCAUGCUGGAGUGCAGUGGUGAGAUCUCAACUCACUGAAAUCUCCACCUUUGGGUUAGAGCAAUUCUCCUGCCUCAGCCUCCUGACUAAUGGAAUUAUAGGCACCUGCCACCAUGCCUGCCUAUUUUUUUUUUUUUUAAAGCAGAGACAGGGUUUCACCAUAUUGGUCAGGCUGGUCUUGAACUCCUGACCUCAGGUGAUCCACCUGCCUUGGCCUUCCUUUGCCAGUACUACAAAUGUAAGCCACCACACCUGGCCUUUUUUUAGGUUUUUAAUAGGAAAAUUCUUUUACAGAAUGAAUUUGGGGUGCCACAAGUGUAUUUGUCCAUUUCAACUGUAGCUACACUACAAUAUUUAGCUUUUUCCACCCUAAGAACUCACAGGUUCUAUGAUAAUGUUCUUUUAGUCCCAAAAGCAAUUAUUUUGUGUAUUUUUUGAGACAGAGUCUUAUUCUAUAGCCCAAGCUGGCAUGCAGUGGCUCAAUCUCGGCUUACUGCAACUUCUGCCUCUUGGGUUCAAGUGAUUCUCGUGCCUCAGCCUCCUGAGGAGCUGGGAUUAAAGGCGUGUGACACCACACCCAGCUCAUUUUUGUAUUUUUAGUAGAGACAGCAUAUUGCCAUGUUGGCCAGGCUGGUCUCAGGUGAUUCACCCGCCUCGAACUCUCAAAGUUCUGGGAUUACAGGUUUAAGCCUUGUGCCCAGACCAAAACCAAUUAUUGUAUUCUUUUAUGUUGUCAUGUCUUCUUUAAUAUGAUUUUCUUAAUUACUGCUAGUGAAAAAAUAAAUUUUAAAAAAUUACAAAUCUAUAAACUCUUAAAAGUAGUGGAGCUUUAGAAAUCAUUGUGUAACCCAACCAAUUUAACAAAUGAGUCCUGAGCCUCAGUGAUAUUAAAUGCCUUGCCUGAAAUAGUAGCAGAACCAGAAGUAGAACUUAGGGUUCCUUAUUUCCAGUUUAGUACUUUCGCUCUAUUCCAUAUCAGUCAAAAUAUUUAUUUAGUAGUUCAUGUAAAAUAUUGAAGUUUUAGGUGAUAUGACUGGUACGGUAAAAUAUAAGCUAUUUCCUGUGUUCAGGGAGUUGGAUCUGUAGCUGAGGUGUUUAUAAACUAUUUGGACAAAUAAUAGUAUUCAUUGGUAGGAUUUAAUAAAUUUUGUAUGAUACAGAAAUUGGGAAUCAUAGCUACAGUUUUGUUUAUUUGUUGGACCUACAACAAAACAAAAAUAAGCUUGAGAAAUAAAUACACAAACACAUGCCAAGCUAUGUUGGAGUCUGAUGUGAACGUGAAAGUAAACACAGAUACAGACUGUCUAUAUUUAAAGUUUUGAAAUUUUGUUCAUCGUAGAGUUUUUAUUAACUGGAGUCCAUGCGUUAUUCAUUUCCUUAGUUUUUAUGCAAUGUCUUUUUUUGUUCCAGAAUAUAUUACCUUUUGUUGUUAUGCCACAUAGUGGUUUUUUUUUUGUAUUAAUGUUGAUUUUUAAAGCGUUACAUUAAAAUAUUAUUUAUCUAUAUUAUUGAGAUUUUCACCUGAAAUGAACGUGUCGCUUGUCUUCCUCUAGUCCUGACUUGGGGACACACAUGCACACAAGGACAGAGUACUUUAUUUUUGAGAUAUAUUUCUUUAAGUCCUCUUAUCCAAAAAAAGAAAAGCCUUUAAGUCCCAGUGGGCAAAUUGCUAAAAUGUGGGGUGAAAAAUGUGAAACUGGUAAACAAUGCAAAGUAGGAGCAUAUUUCAUAAAUAACUCAGGUAUGUUAACUAUUAUUUAUGAAUGAAGCCACAGAUUUCUGAUUGUAAAUAUCCAGAGUUCCAUAGUGUACGUAUUAUCUGAGCUCUCAAAUCAGACUUCAGACCAGUGCAAUAAAAUGAACACAUAAGCCUGACUAGCCAGAAGCCAGAGAUGGGUCUGCCCUUAAUCACACCACAUCUAGUAGCUUUCUACUUUUACUUUUAAGAUUAUUAUUGAAUUCUUAUAACAAAUAUAAAGUUCCUAUUUAAUCUUCCCCAGAAUAUCUCAUCAUUUUCAACUUAAAUGCAGGAUAAUUAUUUCUAGCAGAUGUUAUUUACUGACAUAAUUUCUGGACCAAAUGAUAACAUUAACACUCAGUGUAAUGUUUUGAUGUUCUCUCAUGCCCUGAUACAUUUGGACUUAUUACCAAAUCACUGCUACAAGCCUGGAAGUUUUAAUAAUUUACAGAAAUCAUUACGCCUGGAAGAGUAGUAACUCUGCCAAAGAGAUGACUUAAAUGUCCCAAAUACAUCCCAUAUUCUCAGUCCUCUCAUCUGAGUUUCUCUUACACCCAUUUUUCUUAUAUAUAAAAACAGCAAUAUUUUGAGCAAAAAUUGAAAAGAAAGGCUCUAUUUUAUCACAUGGCCUCAUUUCUUUUUUCUGUUUGCAUAGCUUGUACAUGAAUACAAUUUCAUCAUGUAUACAUGUCCACUAAAUUAUUAGCUGACUGCCUUUGAUGUCAAGGUUGGACUUUUGCCUUCUCUUUGUAUGUAUGGCAAUUUGAUAUGACCUCAUUGCUGGCACUAAGUUUUCACAGAAUAAUAACAUUUACGGUUUAUAAUCUCCAUAUCUCUGGAGAGAUUUGCUUAAUAGAACAAUACAUGUCAAGAUUCUUUGCCUAAGCUUGUAUGCUCUGUGCAAAAUGUACAAUGUAUAUUUUACCUGCAUAUUUUAUGCUACUAAAUGGCCCUGUAAAGAAAGGUAUACUUAAGAACACACUUUAAAAAUUUUAUUGAGUUUUACAAAAAACUGUGACUCCCUACCUUGGAAAUCUUGUUUUUUGUGUGUGUGUGUAUUUUUUUCCUGUUUUCAAAGUAUGAACUCUCCUUUGUUAGCUCUGUAUGAGGAAUGAACCAUUUUCUCAAAGUUCAAUAAAUGAAGACUCUCACCUUACGGAGAGGCUAAAUUCUUGUGUUAGAAAUAAUUCUUACUUCAUCAUAAAGACUUGUGAAAUGACAAAUGCAUAUUUGGAAAUAAAACAUAUUACAGGGCUUCUACUUAAAAAUGACCGUGUGCUUAUGUUUGUGUUUUCUCCCUCUCUAAACCCACCUAACAUGCUUUAAGAAAACCCAAAAUAUGUUAAUUCAUAAGGACAAAGAGAGCCAGAGAAAAGGCAACAGUGGAAAAAUCUUUUAACAAACAUUACUGAAGCAAGGAAGCAGAUGGUAAUUAAUUUAUCAGAGCAGAAGAAAUUUCCACCUAGCCUACAGAGGACAUUAUCACCAAGAAAUGAGUUAGCAUGCUCCUUGCAACUUCACCCAGGACAUUGGAACUGCUAAAGGCUGUGCUGAGGCAUGGGCUGAAGAGAGAUGCUUUACCAGAAAGGCUACACAACAGAUGUACAUCAGGUCUUCUCCCCAACUCAUCCUCCCUGGAGGAUACUGGAACUCUUCUCUAGAGAAAUGCAGAGACACCAGUUGAAGGCUGAAGUGAGAUCCAAGGAUAAAUAGUGAAAAGCCUCAGUUGUAAAUAUUAAGAAUAAAAAAGUCAAGAAUCAUGUAGCAUUUUAGGAAAGCUUCAAAUUGACACCUGGACGAAACAGGAUUUUUCAGGGAGCAGAAGAAAACUUGAGAAAAAAAUCUCUAGUAUAUACAGAUAUAUGAGGCAUAUGCCCAUAAAAACAGGAAGCUCUGUAAAAGAAACAGAGACCAAGACAGUGCUUGAAAAUUAAAAAUACAGUAAGCAACAGAAGAAAAAAACAGAAACAUGAAUAGAAAACAGAAUUAUAAGAUCAAUAUAAGUUCAUUGUCUCCAAUGAAGAAAUUCCUGGGAGGUGAGAGGAAACAAUGAGAAAAUUAUUAGACAUAAUGAAGAAAAAUACUCUCUAGAUCAGAAAAGAGCACAGCAAUCCAAAUUAAAUGGGCCUGCUAACCACUAAACACCUGGCCCAGUGAAUAAAAAAUAGACUAACCCAACACAUCACAACAUUUCAAAACACCAGGAGUAAAACAUAAUUUUCUUAAGCUUCCAGAGAAAAUUAACCAUUCAUACCCAAAGAGUAUCAGAAUGACUUUGGACUUUUUGCUAACAUUGGAUAAAAGAAAAUUUAAAAAUCUGGAGAAAAAGUGGUUUUCAGCCAACAGUUUUAUGCCCAGGCAAAAUAUCAAUCACAUGUAAGUAAAGAAUAACAAAUGUGGAUGCACUCUUAAAAUAUACCUCCCACAUCUUAGAGAAAGUUCACUCUCAAAAUAUACCUCCCACAUCUUAGAGAAAGUUACUAAAGAAAUAGACUCCAGUAAAACAAAGGAAUAAACCAAGAAAGAUACAUAUAUGAGACUUGUGAAAUCAAGGUGCUGACAGAAGAAUGAUAAAGAGAGUUGUCAGAAUGACACCUGUGUAGAGCAAUAAGUUUCUAUUAUAUAAGGAAGGUAAAGUGCUACAGGAGAGAAUUAUCGAAGAGCCAAAUACAGUUACUAGAGUAGUUAUUAUAUAAGGGAUUUGCAAAAUUCAUUGAGUCAUUUGAUAGAUCCAUUGACAGAUUGGGAGAAAUUAAAUGUAGAAACUAAGCAGAUGAACAAACAGUAGUUUUAUUAAUUGCAAGACAAAACAUGUAUGAGAAAGGAACGGUAAUAAUAGGAUGCUAUUUAGCUCAGCAGUGAACAGUAUUUUAUUGUUACAGUGAUAUAAAUGGUGACUGUUUAACCAAAAGUUGUUAUGUAAAUAUACUGAGCGAAUUAGAAAGGAAGUGUGCAUGUGUGCUAGAUUCACUACCAUGGCAGAAAGUCUACAACAGUAUCUUAGGUUGGGUUCCCUGUAAGAAAUACUCUGUGCAGGAAGUUUACGGAGAAGUAUCUGUCUUGAAGGUCAACACCUGUGGAGAAAGAAGGAAGCAGGAUAGGGCAGUGUGAGGAGUUGAAAUGUGAUGGUGAUAUGGUUACAACAAAGAUCUCCCUCUAAGGACCCCCCCCACCCCAGUGGUUCUGCCUUAAAUCAAAGAGUUUGGGCCUUUAUACCCCCUGAAUCUACCAGUUACUGGAACUGAGCAAGGGAGAUGUUAAGGACUAGAUGUUUGUGUCUCCCCAAAACUCUUAUGUUGAAGCCAUUAAUCCCCAAUAUGGUAUUUGGAGGUGGGGACUUUGGGAGAUAAUUAGGGUUAGAUGAGUUUGUCGGGCUGGAGAUCUUAUGAUGGGAUUGAAGACCUUAUUAAAAGAAAAAGAAAAAGGAAUGAGAGCUCUCUCUCUUCUUCAUGUGAGGACACAGCAAGAAGGUGACUAUCUGCAAGCCAGGGAGAAAGCCCUCACCAGGGACUGAAUCUGCCAAUCUGCCGUCAGUUUGAUCUUGGACCGUGAGAAACAAAUAUCUGUUGUCUGAGCUACCCAGUUUAUUGUAUUUUGUCAUGGUGUGUGCUAAUGCGUGAGGGGUCAUAAUUAAUGCAGGAGGGAUCACGAUCUUGGACAAGGUGGCCCUUUACAGUUGAAGGCUAUUUUAACUAAACUGAUAAAUCAAAAAUAGAAAUAAAAGUAUAUUAUUUAGAAACAUGGAGGUAAGUGGCACAGCAAACAGCUAACACAUUGAGGACUGGGAGAGGAAGGUGGGCAUAGUGGACAAGAACAGGUCUUUUUGUUAUGAUCCAUUCACCAUUACUUGAUUUUAGCUAUGUGCAUCCAUAGCAUCGACAGAAUUAAUAGUUACUUUAAAAUUAACAAUUCAAUUGCAUCCAGUUAUGGAAGCAAAGUGGUAAAAAUAUGCCAUUUUUGGUGAUGGUAUAUACAGCUAGGUGUACCAAUCUUCGACACUGACAAAUGUUCAAAGAAGAGGCCGGGUGCGGUGGCUUGGGCCAGGCAUGGUGGCUCACGCCUGUAAUCCCAGCACUUUGGGAGGCCGCAGGGAACAGAUCACCUGAGAUCAGGAGUUCAAGACCAGCCUGGCCAACAUGGUGAAACCCUGACUCUACUAAAAAUACAAAAAUUAGCCAGAUGUGGUGUGCGCCUGUAAUCCCAGUGCUUAUGUCUACUUUAUUUUAUUUUUAAUCAACAAAUAAUGUAUAUCUAGUUGGUGUACCAUGUGAUGUUUUGAUGUAUAUUUAAAUUGUGGAGUAAUUCAAUCAAGCUAAGGAAUAUAUCCAUCACCUUACAUACUUAUUUUUUUAGUGAGAACAUUUAAAAUCUAAUUGUUAAGUAUUGUUGAAAUAUAGUAGUGAGGAUAUGGGGAAGGGGAACCCUUGUAUAUUGUUGAUGGGAAUAUAAAUUAAUAUAGCCAUUAAGAAAAACAAUAUGGAGGUUCCUCACAAAAAUAAAUCAUUUUGAUACAUUAUUUCAGUUUUUCUUCUAUUAGUACUGUGAAGCGAGUAUCCUUACCUUCAUUUUACUAAAAUGGAAACUGGAACUUAGAGUUGAACUAAUUGCUCAUGAUCUAACACCCAGUAAAUGGUGGAGCUGAUGUUUGAUGCUCUGUGUUCUUAGCCACUAUGGUCCAAUCAGCAUUCCUGUCUGUAUGUUCUCAUUGGCCGAAAAAAAUGUUCACAUGCCAGUUAGAUGGUGACCCACAUGGUCUUUCUAAGGAAACAGUUUCUUUGCACUUAGUUGCUAAACACCAUGGAAAAUCCAAAAACUAUUUUCCUCUUCUUUUCCUUUAUGGCAUUGUGAUUAUGUGGAGAGAUGAAUUGUGAUUUUUUAGAAAUUCCACAUCAAGCAUCUAACAGAAAUGCUUCAUUUUGUCCCAAAUAUAUCAGCUGAGAAGAGAUCAUUGUUGGAAGUGAGUGAGAGGCCUCAAAGCCAGACUGUGUUCUGAUCCUCAUUUCCCAACUUACCAGAGCUAUCAUUCUGGGCAAGUCACUUAAAUAGACUAUGCCUCUGAACUCAGACAGUGUCACUGGCUUUUUGUUUUUUGAGACAGAGUCUCGCUCUGUUGCCCAGGCUGGAGUGCAGGGGCAGACCUUGACUCACUGCAACCUCCGCAUUUCAGGUUCAAGCAAUUCUCCUGCCUCAGCCCCCUGAGUAGCUGGAACUACAGGUGUGUACCACCGUGCCCAGCUAAUUUUUAUAUUUUUAGUAGAGAUGGGUCUUCACCAUGUUGCCCAGGUUGGUCUUGAACUACUGAUCUCAGGUUAUCUACCUGUCUUGGCCUUCCAAAGUGCUGGGAUUAUAAGUGAGAGCCACUACACCUACUGCCUCUGGCUUUGUAAGGUGAGUGUUGUAAUAUCACCUGCCUCACUGAGUCCUUGGGAAGAGGACGUAAAUUCAGACACAUAAAGCAGAGACUGUGCUGGCCCUUUGUAGGUGCCUAGUACGUAUUAGCCAUUAUUAUAUAUUAGUCUGAAAAAGCAGAUUGCAACAAAUCAAGGGCUCCGCAACUGCUUCUAAAGAAUGAAGUUCCAUUAUUUCAUUUAAAUACCAUUAAUUUCCUACACUUCAUCUUUUCAUUUUUGUUUUCCUUUCUUUUUGUAUAUACAACUUAAGCUUUUAUAAGGCAUUUUAUUCAAUUAUGUAUUUUCUCUGUGCUUGGCUUCUUCCUCUCCCACUGCUUCCCAAACACACACACAUUGAACAACUUCCUUACCCAGUGAUAAUGGAAUCGGGUAUAAUGUUGCUUUCCAUCGCUGCCUUGCUUUUGGAAGAGAAAGCAAGAUUAAUAAAUUAUAAUUAUUUGUACAUGUUUAUUUUCUUUUGCUAAAUGGCAGCUUUACGUCGGUAAUGUGUUCCCAAGGUCUAAAGGAUUAUGUUUACACAGUUUGGCAUAUGAAUAGGCUUUCACUUACCAUUGCAAAAUCACUAUUUGCCAUGCUUAACCCUGUAUUUUCUGCCUAAGGAGAUUAGGGAGUUAGAAUGGGGUUGUCAUAUUUGGCCAGACGUGCCUGUUUCUUGAUCUGUCUCAAGAAAUGGAAAUUAUACUUUCCCUGCCUUUGGUCUACUUAAAGUAUCGUAGAAGAGAAAAUUGUACUGUGAGUUUGAAAUGGUGCAGACAGUGCCCGAAUCAGGCGGCACUUGAGGAACGGAAGCCGUUAGAGUAACUGACACCUGCUGUUGUUGAUUAGUGCCCUUCCCGUCAGCUGCGGAAUUGAUACACGCUUGGGGAAUAGGCUAACUGCUUACUGGCUUUACUUUAGUUUCUUAGUUGGAACCAACGGACGAUUUUAAGAUUGAAAAAGAAAUGCUCAGGUUGCUGUCCACAGUAGGAUAAACUGAGAAAGGCCAUCAAGAGGUGGUCUUUGUAGAUUUUUCUCCCCUACCAUCUUAAAGAAACUGUUGCUUUCCAGUGUAGAAAGGCCCUUAAAACAUCUGGGAUUGUCAUCUCUUCUACAGUAGAAGAGGUGACUCACUUCUGGUUCACCGGUCAAGCAUCAGUAAGGAAGAAAACAGACCUGUAUUCCAAAGUUCAAUUCAAGGUUUGUUAGAUUGCACAAAUUCUGAUGUCUCCUUCAGUUACCUUCCAAGGAAUGGAAAAGUUUGAAGCAAUGCCUUCUGACAGGUCAAAUCUGCUCAACCAAGGAGAUCUAUAGAUGCUGUGCUGCCACAGAUUUCUCUCAUGGACUCUUUCCUCUAAGUCUCAGUAAUUGGAUUGUCACUUGGGUCCCUGACACAGGAACUCUAAGAAAAGAUGGCUUCUCAAGGAAGGGAAGUGAAAGCUCUGUGAAUGAUUAAGGUGAUAACGCCUCCCAUGUGAGCUGCUUUGGGCUCCCUUAACAUUCAAAUUCCAGAAUGUGAGCCUGUGAACUGCAGCAGGAAGCUAACUUAAUAUCAAGCAUGAGCUAACUUAGGGUUAAUUCUCAACCGCACCAAUGAGGAGACCUGUUAGGUUAUAUUCCUGAUCAGAUCAAGCAGAAAAGGGUAGCUCAUGGUAUACUUUCAAAGGCGUAUCAGAAGUAGCAAGGAUCCAAAAUUUAUCCAUUGUAUCCAAGUAUUACUUUCUUUUUCUUUAGGUAAAUUGCCUUUUGAAAAGCAUGUGAAUUUUUUUAACAUAUCAAUUAAUGUUUCCUUCCAAAAAGCUUCAUUCAUUAAUUUCCUGCAAAAGGAAAACUUUGCUCUGUUGGAUAUCUUUCUUAAUGGCUCUGACCUUUUAGUCAGCACUGCAUAUGGAUAGAAUGCUUUAUCAUGAUUAAUGAAUUUUUCUGUGGAACAAUCCCUUUAAGUUGAAUAAAUAAUAUUAUUCAUUAUCAUUAAUAGUCUUUACCAUCAGAAACAAACAGUACAAGUAAUAUCAAAACUAUUCUAAAUGUUAUUGUUACUUUCCGUUAUUGCUUUUUUAAAAAAAAAAAUCAAUUCCCAUUUCUAUUGAGUAGGUUGAUUGCUUAAAAAUGCUCAUUAAGAAGCUAUUAUGCACCACACAUUAUUCUGAUUUAACUAGUCUAGACAUUGGCAUUUCUAAAAAUCUCUCUGGGUUUUUUAUUUUUAUUUUUUGAGACAGAGUCUCGCUCUGUCACCAGGCACCAGGCUGCAGUGCAGUGGAGUGAUCUUGGCUCACUGCAACCUCUGCCUCCUGCAUUCAAGCAAUUCUCCUGCCUCAGCCUCCCAAGUAGCUGGAACUACAGGUGUGCGCCACCACGCCCAGCUAAUUUUUUUGUAUUUCUAGUAGAGAUGGGGUUUCACUAUGUUGGCCAGGAUGGUCUCGAUCUCUUGACCUCGUGAUCCGCCUGUCUCGGCCUCCCUAAGCUCUCUGGGUUUUUAAUAUGUAGCCUAGGUUGAAAAUCAUUGCUCAAGAGGCCUGAGUCUGGAAGGAGGGCAGGAGGCUUUCACAGGAUAGGUGGCAUUUGAGAGAGACCCAAAAAGAAGGUAGGUUGAGGAAUAGAGAGAACUAUGUGAGAGGAAACAAAGAGGCUUGACACAACCCUGGUAGCACUGGAUCAUCUGCUCUUGGGGAGGUAAGAAAGGAAGUGACCAGAGAGAAUGAGAAGGUUUGGUCAGGACUACACUGAAAAGAGCCUUCAGAGACAUGCUGACGAGUUGAAUUUUAAUCACCUGGACACAGGGAACCACUAUAUCUUCACAUUUUUAAGAAGCAAUUAUGGCUUGAGCUGAUCUCUGUUUAAGAGGAAAAACCUGAGUAGUGGAGGAUGCAUUAGAGUGUGGGAACUUUGAAAUUCGCAGAGGUUUGCGUCAUUCAGGUGACAGAUGAUAAUAGAUUACGAUUGUCCCAAACUAACUUGAUCUGUUGUACCUUGGAUCACCAAAUAAACAUCAUAACUUCCUGUACACAAUUUUUAAAUGUUAUCAACAAUUACUGUAAAUAUGUUAAUUCUAUGCCCAGAAGAUAAAAAUAUUUAGCAAAGACCACAAUUACUUUUGCACCAACCAACCUAAUCAUAUUCUUGAUCCACAAGGUUUUCAACAACUAAUUUCUUGGUACUAAAGAAGCAGAAAAGAAUUAAAGCACAACAAAGAUAGCAUUUAAUGCUAAGCAUCCUUUUAAAAACAUCCAGUAUUUACUGAAUAGAUUUGAAUAAAUGAACUAAUAGAUAAUUGUACUUACUCAGUUAUUAGUCCUAUAGUAGACACCAUAGAGAAUGUACAAGGACAUACUACAGAGUUGGAGGAACAAAAUUAGCCCAACUGAAAUAACAGUGUACAGUUUUGUACUGUUGCUGUGAUGUAGAUCACAAGUAUAGGUGGCGUUCAGAAGCAUAUAAGAUGUUUUGGAGGCUCAGGGAGAAUAAGGAUACAUUUUAUUUUACUCCUAGUGAAUGCCAAUAAGUAUUUAGUUAAUACUGUAUUAUACAGUGCAAAUAUUUGUUUAUUGCUGAAUGAAUAAGUAAAAUCGGUCUUAAGAUUUUCUCUGAAGAUGAGCAAGGUUUUGGAUUGACUGAUGACAUAAAAUAGGACUUCUGAGAUAAAGCAAAUAAAUGAAGAAACAGAUACAACACAGAGGUUAUAAUGACCACAGCAAGCAUCUUAAUUUAAUGCUAUCAGGACCACUGGAGGAAUAUUUUGCUUACAGAAGAUACAAUUUAAGACGAGAAAUCAUGUGUCUUCAAAUAUCUGAAAGUGAGGGAGGCUUUUGCUAAAAAUCCCAUGGCUUUCCAGAAAGCAGAAUUAUGUCCCAAGAGCAGAUGCCGAAACUACACUUUCAAGCAAACUUUAAUUAUAUCCCUUGCCAGUAAAUGUUUGUCAUCACUUUUGAUUUUUAUUCAAAGGAUUAACUUGGUGAGCAUGUUAUAGAACUUGCAAGAAUAAAAUAAGGCAUUGCACUAGGAGAUCCUCAAAGUCUGUUCUGACUCUUAUAGUUUAAGUAGCAAAUAUUAGAAUUUGUUUGGGUUCACUUGGGUAAGUUUCAACCAACAAAUAAAAAAAAAAAAAAACCAGAAGACUUCUGCUUAGCAUAUUAAUAAUUAAAAGGCAGAAUUUCUCACAUUGGAAUAAAAAGCACAACCCAACUAAAUGCUGCCUAUAAAAAUCCAAUUUGAAAGAGAAAGACACAAAUAGAUUUAAUGCAAUACCACCACUUUGGAAAAUCGUCUGGCAGUUUCUUUAAAAAGUUAAAAAUACGCCUACCAUAUGAUCCAUUCAUUCUAUGACAAGAUAUUUAUCCCCCAAACAUUGAAAGCAUAUGUUCGUACCAAAACUUGUGCAUGUAUGUACAUGAAAAUUGUAUUUGUGACAACACAAACCUGGAAACAAGCCAUUAUCCAUCAAGAGAUGAAUACGUAAGUGAACUGCGGUACAGUGAUACAAUGGAAUACUGCUCAAUCAUAAAAAGGAAUGAACUCUUGACACAUGUGAGAAGGGAUGAACUCAAAAUAAUACGGCAUGUGGAAAAAGUCUAGAACACAAAGAUGUGAGCAUACUGUAACAUUUAUAUAAAAUUCUAGAAAAUACAAACUAGACUUCAGCGAAAGAAAGUCAGUAGUUGUCCAGGGCUGGGUGUGCUGUAGUGAACGCAGAUGGGAAUGGGCAGGAGGGAGAAAUUACAAAGGAGAAUGAUGAGACUUGGGGUGAUGCAUAUGUUUAUUUUCUUAAUUGUGGCACCAAUUCCAUGGACAUAUAAGUACAUAUAUCAAAUUAUAUGCUUCAAUAUGUGCAGUUUGGAGUACCAUUAUGAGAAAGAAAAAGUCAAAAAGUUACAAAGUAGCCAAAUAAGAAUGUGGUUUCAGAAUUUGUACAUAAAAUUUUUCUUUCAUGAGAUGUAAGAUAGGACAGGAUAUGUAGAGUAGAAGAAUGACCUUACACUUGGCAGGAGACUCUCAAUAAUGAUUCUUGGAUAAAGGCUGCUAGGACUACCACCAGAGUCAUCGGCAUGAUCAUCAGACCCUGUCCUGGAUACGCUCGCUGAGCCAAAGGAGCCAAAGCUGGCUUAAUAGAUGUGACCCAUCUUCCUCCUUUUAACCAUCAGCAGUCCACGAAUCUAGUACUUUUUCAAUGACAUUUUUAUAGUCCACCCAUGUGGCUUCAUGACUUAGUUUUUGAAAUAAAGGCUCUGCAUCUAUGGGUUGUUAAGCUUUAAACUUUCUGGAAUUCUGUAAGGAUUUUUUUUAGUAGCAAAAAAUGUCUGCAACAAUGCAUCUUAUGUUGAUGUGAAUCAGCAGAGGGUGAUUAGUUUCCCUCUUCUACUGAAUUCUGCUGUCACUUCUGCAGGGUGGGGAGAAGUAGCACAACGGGAGCUAAGAAAAUGGGUGCCAAUGGAUGCCAUCUAAUCAAGAGAUUGCCAUCAGUAUUUAAGGCAGAGCAGGCAACUACUACAAGAUGGUACCAACCACUGUGGGGAACAAGACACAGUGGGAACAUUAAGCCAGAACUCCAGUAUUCCCAGUCACCCGCCACUCAGGCUCAUUUUGGUCACUUUGUUUACCUAAUAAUAACACAACUAUGGGCCAGUCACUGUGGCUCAUGCCUGUAAUCCCAGUACUUUCGGAGGCCAAGGUGGAAGGAUUGCUUGAGUCCGGGAGUUUGAGACCAGCCUGGACAACAAAGUGAGACCCUUGUGUGUACCAAAAAUUAAAAAAUAAACAAAAUUAGCCAGUCAUGGUGGCAUGUGCCUGUAGUCCCAGCUAUUCCAGAAGCUGCGGUGGGAGGAUUGCUGAAGCUCAGAAGAUUGAGACUACAUGAGCUGUGACUGUGCCACCACACUCUAAACUUCAGCCUGAGUGACAGAGCAAGAACUUAUAUUUUUAAAAAAAUUAUAUAAUUAUAAUAAUGACAGUGAUCUACUGUGUAUUUUAUGCAUUGAAUUUCUUGGGCCCGGUUUCUGCCAAUAUAGGUAGGUUUACUGUACUUCAGUAUAAAUUGUUUCAUGUAUGUGUGUCUAAAUGGGCUGUAAACCUUACCUUAGAUUUUUUUCUUUUUUUCUUUGUUUCUUUCUUUUGAAAUAUCUUUAUUAGGAAUCAACACAAUAGAGGGGACAGCUUAUGCUUUGUAUAGUUAUCAAUAUAUGUCCAAAGGGCUAAUUAAGUGGCAUAAAAUAGGUAAAAUAAUAAUUUUCCAUGAAGUUUACAGCAAAGAACUUUAUGGAUACCCCUGCCCUUGCAGGCCAGACAGCCCCAAAGCCAAAUCCCCUUACUGUCACCUUUGAAGUCUAAUGACAGCUUGUUCUCAUCUAUCCCUUCCUCAGGUUCUAUCCUUGGUCUGAUUGUUGCCUCCUCCCCUGUCAGAAUAUCAUCAUAUAUGUCCAGGGCAAACUUUUUAUUCAGGGUGCUCUUAGAAGUAUUUUUCUGGCUGCUGGCUAAUAAAACAGUGGUACCAAUUCGGAGGUCAGCUUGCCUUGGUCAUAACUAACCAAUUGUAAUCAAGUUGUGAAGGGGAUUUGUAGCCCCCUAUUUGCCUCUGAGCACAGUAGGUUAGCAUACAGAUCUUUCCUAAAUGAACCCAAUCAGUGCUGCGUGCUAUAUUUCCAUUGGUCAGUUAGCAACACUUCGUGACUAGACCAGAUUAGAAUUUGCAGUCUACUUUCAUAAGUGCUAAUAUAGUUCUUGGGUCUUCCUCAAAUAUUGUUUUCUGUCUUCAUGCAUCUUCUUAGGUUGCUCUGUUUGAUGCUUUGGGUAAGAAUUGUUUAGUUUGGGCUUUAUUAUUCUGUCCUCUUUGAGCAAUUUAUUGUGUUGGUUUAGGGCUGCUAGGGGCACCUGAUCCUCCCCUAGUUGACUUAUGAGGCCCUUAGAUAUUGUACACAUGGAUAAUGCUUCAAAAGUAAUCAAGCAAAACGUGGCAUUGGCAGUAAGGGAUAAUCAAUUUGCAAAAACGAUAAAGUGCUUAUCACCUACAGUUGAUGAUAUAUGCUUGAUUGGGCAGCCUAGAGAAACAGUUGCCCAUCAGCUCUUCCGCUCACUCACUAAAUCCCCCAAUCAGGCCUUAGAAAUAUUUAAGCCUAAGUAAGAACGCUACUCAUUCUGUCUUGUAAAGUGGACAGAAACUGUGGCAUGGUGAAUCCACUUCUCAUGCUUAACGAGGAAAGCAAGCACACGUCUUUCCUCUGCAGUUCAUUCAUUCAAUGAGUAAAUAUUCAGUGCCUGCCAAGUGCCACACACUUUGAGAAUACAGCAUUGAACCACGGAGUCAAAAGUCCCUCUCAGGAUUUGCAUUCUAGUUGGAAAAAAGACGAUCAACAACAUAAAUAAGUAUAAUAUUAGCAUGUAGAUAUAUCUUAAGAAGGAAAGAGAAAAGCAAGGAAGACUGAAACCUCAGAGAGUUUCUGGUUUUCACUAUGGGGCAGGGAGGACCUCACUGUGAAGACGACUUGGGAGCAAAGACCUUUGAGUUUAGGGAAUUGCAGUAAAGCAGUGUUUAUGAGAUGAGGAAAAGGGUGUUCCCACAGGUGCGCUUUCCACGCCCCGAAUGGAGCCUCCCUUUGUUCACAAAUCCACUACCUGAGCCGAAAGUAGAGUGAGACAUGAUUUACCAUAUAGUCUGUGAACACUCUUGUCCUGGUUAGGGCUGAAUUUUCUGGCUUACUUUCUACCUAGAUCUGAGGCAUCUGGCUAUGCCUACAACAGGGAACAAUAGAAAGGAGAAAGGCAAACAAAAAAACCAAAACAAAUUUGUUUCAAAUGACAUCACUUGGCUUAUGGAGAGAGAAAAGCGUGUCUAGUACAUCCCUGUUAAAUACUGACAUCUGCGAUUUGGGAAAUGCUGUUUGUAAGAAAAGAUGAAAUAGAGAUGAUGAAACCUUGUUGGCUUUCCUUUAUAAGUUGACACAUGAGUAGGCAAAACAUUAGCGGCUACAAGAUAAAACACCCAGUUUUGAGAUAAACUUUGUAAAUAUUCACUUACCUUUGGGUUUCACUAAUUGCUGUCCAAAGAGGAAACCCAUGUUGAUAAUUAAUCAAUAACACAACACACUUAGCAGUAUUUUCUUCAUUAGGUUGCAUGUAAGUCCCAGUUCACAGAUCUUGUUCUGGCUUUUUGUUUUGUUUAUUGUUGUUUGGAUUUCUUUUUUUAGUUUCCUCACCAAACUGCUGGAAAUUUAUUUCUGGCAUUCGCUUACUGGAAUUUAGGGCAAUUACAUGAGCAUAGGUCAGAUAAUAACUUGUGUCUGUCCAUAUUUAAGCACAAUAGAUGUUACUUAGCAGGCACCAAAUAAGAAAGUCAGUUUUCUAUUAUGCAAAUUAUCAUACUUGUUUUGAAAGAUUUAACCUAGUACAUUUAAUAUACUAGGGCUGCUAUAACAAAGUGCCCCCAAAUGGGUGGCUUAAGACAGCUGAAAUGUAUUGUCCCACAGUUUAGGAUCUUAGAAGUAUGAAAUGAAGUUGUCAGCAGAGCCUUGCUCUCUCUGAAGGCCCCACGGGAGGAUCCCUUCUUGCUUUCUGGGUUGCUGGAAGCCCUUGGCAUUCUUUGGCUCACAGAUGCAUCACUGUAAUCUCCACGUCCACUGUCACAUGGCAUUCUCCCUGUGUGUUCCAUUUGUCUUCUCUUUUAUGAAGACACUAUUGAUAUUGGACUAAGGUCCUCCCUAAUUCCAUAAAACUUCAUUUGAACUUGAUUACAUCUGCAGAGACCCUAUUUCCAACUUAGGUCACAUUCACAGGUGGGAGUGGUGGUCAAGACUUCCACAUACCUUUCCUAGAAAUAAUCCAUAACAACUAAUAUCUUAGUGACUCCAUUGCACGUUUUUAAACAGGUCUAAUGUUUUUAAGCCUCCCAUUCAUUGAUAUUCAUGAAGACACUUCUUUACUUUGAAAUGCUUGGAAUUUGAAUAAAAUCCAUCUGUGCAUGUUUGAACAGUAAAGAUUUCACUAGUUGCCAGCAAGAGCUUUAGGAGCUAUCAUUCCUCAGGCUGAUCAUAUCCCCACAUGCACUUUGGAUGAAUUGGAAAAGAAGUUGGCAGGCUACAUACGAGAAGCUUGACCUAGUUAAUAUCUGCUUCUAAUAGGAACACAAGAAUUAAGAUGAUGACAAAAUAGCUUUUUUCCAUAAAACUAUAUUCUGUGUUUUGUUAGCUUGUUUUGUCAAAACCUUACAUAUGUCUUUUUCUUUUAUCUUUUCUUUCUUUUUAUUUAUUUAUUUUUUUUUGAGACAGAGACUCACUCUGUCGCCCAGGCUGAAGUGCAAUGGCGUGAUCUCGGCUCGCUGCAACCUCCACCUCCCAGGUUCAUGCAAUUCUCCUGCCUCAGCCUCCCAAGUAGGUGGGAUUACAGGUGCCCACCACCAUGCCUGGCUAAUUUUUUGUAUUUUUAGUAGAGACAGGGUUUCACUAUGUUGGCCAGGAUGGUCUCGAACUCCUGACCUUGUGAUCCACCCACCUUGGCCUCCCAAAAUGCCGGGAUUAAAGGCAUGAGCCACCGCGCCGUUGACUUUUUUCCUAUAAAUGGCUUCCGUAGGAGUAUGUAAUUUCAAAAUGGAAAGAAAAUGAAUGAUUUGAAUCAACCGAGUCAUAGUUUUCCUUCUCCACAUACAACAAUAAUUAAGAGAUAGCAGGAAUACACGGGUAGUUGAGUUGUAGAAAAGGUAUGUAUAGUAAUGUAAAAGCUAAGAUUUCCCUUGCCAUACUAGGCUCAACAGUUGCAAAAGUAAAGCAGAAAUUAAGUCACUGGCCUUCCACGCUGGCAAGAUGAAUCAUCUGUAGUGGGUCUUUUCAGCUCCAACGGUGGGUAGUUGAAGAUGGACACAGAAAGCCCUUUCUCCAUUUCUGCCAUUCACUGUGAAUAUUCUCAAAAUCACCUGACCAGUCAGAACCUCAGUAUUUCCUCUAUCACAGCCCAAGAAACCUGCCCAUACUUACAGUCUAGGUUUCUAUAUAGAAAAGACACACUCAUUUUCAUGAGCUCUCAAUUUGAACCUGAUGCUCAGGGCCCAGGUAUGCUUUUUCUAUUACCAGAUUUCUUUAAAACCAUCAAAAGGAAAUGUAGGUUUCUGUCGGACUGGGAAGGAUUUCUGCAGAAGUUAUCAGGAUUUUGGCCUGACUUUCCAGCCUGAGGUCCCUCCCUCACAUCCUCUUCCAUACCUGAGUCUCCUUUCCAGGACCCGCCCUUAAAACCCAAGGGAAAAAUAUGCCAAGAGAAAGCCCGAGAAGUAGAAUCUCUGAGGGGUUGCCCCUCAUGUGAACUUGGGACAGAUAUUCCUUUCUGGCUCUGUGACAGCAGCCGUUACUCAGUGACACUGAGCUGAGAGCAGCCCAGCUGAGCAUGGCGCCUUGCACAUAAAUAGAUGCAUUUCUACGCUUCCUGAUGGAGAUGACAGCUCAGAAAGGGGGAGGUCCAGUUUUGGGCCAGAAAGCAUCAUCACUAAGAAUGUUCUGAGGCUGUCCUUUGCCCUCCUGAGUUUUCACCUUCCUUUAUAUAAAAAUUGCAGAUAAAUCCAUUCAAAUCCACCAUACACAACUGACAAAUCAGAUAAUAGAUGGGAUUUGUUUAUUGUUUAGUUUUUUAAAAAAUUGGUAAUUAUUUUUAGGGUUGUCUAAAUGCUCCGGAAAUCAGGUUGAGUGUUGCGAGGAGGCUCCUGUUGCCUUUCUCCCUUGAGAGGAUGUUUCUAAUGCCUGUCAUGUGUGGUGGAAAACUUAACUCAUGCUGCUGUUCCCUUACUCGCCUUCAGUACUGCUUGGAAAUCCUAUCCUUUGACAGUUUCUAAGCCAAAGCUCUCUAGAAUUUAUCAGUUCUCUUGAUGUGAGGCUGUUUUCCCUUCUUACAUUUUAUUUCUUCAGGCUUCUAAAACUGCGUGCCUACUACCAAAAUGAAAAGACCCUGAGAGGAUGUGGAGAUCCACGAACCCCCUCUGCUCUCUAGGAUAGAUCCUGACAGCCUCCAGAUAUUUCACUUGCUUCCUGGGAGCUGGGAGGAAUUUUGAAAAGCCAGAUGUGAGGGAAGAGCAGUUGCUUAUUAUUUACAACUUAUUUCCUGGUAUCAAGUAGUGUAACAAAUUUACCCUAAAAUAAGUAUAGCAUUUUUAUAUUAUCAAAUAGAGCUCACAUGUGAUCAUGCAUUACUAUUAAACGGAAUUUUGUGGGAAGCAAAAUUCAUAACUCCCUCUUCUUGUCACUUCUAGGAAUAGCUUCUUUGAGAUCUCAAAUGUGAAAUUGUCUGAUUUUUGCAUUUUAACCUAAAUGUGGUGUAUGUUCUCUAGAAAGGACCUUUUUUUGUGUGGUCAGCUUUUAGUCUGACUCUAAAGAAAACUAUUAAUAUAGAAAUUGCCCAUUGUACUGAAAGUGUUUGACUAUUAAAUCUUCACUUCCAAGAGUAUUUCCAAAUGCACAAUAAAUGUAGGCUGGGGAAUCACAGCAAGGGGUACAGAGGAGGGAAUGAUAGGUCACAGCAGGUUCCAACAUAUUUUUAAAUGAUUUCCCCUUAUAAAUUGAUCUUAUUUAUAAGGAUUUGGAGGAAGAAAUCAUUCACAUAGCAGGAUCCUUGCCAUAGGUAAAGGGUCAUAAUUUCAGAAGCAAUAUUUCUUGACAUGGUGGAAAGUAAAUUCAGAGACUGGGCAUCUUUACAAUUUUGCUACCUUGUCCAAACUCACACUGGGGACUUAGAGGUCAGAGUUUACACAGGCCCUCAGGAAUGUCUUUUUAGAACUGAGUCACGUUGGUAAAGAAAACUGGCAAGGGAGAUUGGGCUAGCCCAAAGGAAACCCCUCUCUGGUGUAUUACAACUAUGCCUUCAUUUAUAACAUGACAUAACUCUUCACCAACCGGAAAUCAUAACAGAAGUUUCAAAACUCCUUCCUGCCUCUCAUUAUGAUGUAAAGCUAAAAGAUUUUGUUACCUACUAUAACUGAAGCAAAAACUUAAGUAGAAGGUUGUUUAUCAGACACUUGUGAAAUGGAGAUAAGGAUUCAGCUGGGUAACAUCUCCCCCCACCUUAUUUUCUCCACUUUUGUCUCUCUUUUAUGACACUUUUUCCAGGCAGACAUUUAUAGGCAGCAUUCGUGUCAUCGUUCCAGACAGGACCCACGGUCUGAUCUAACCUUUCAUGGUGAACCUGUCACCAUAGUGUCUUGGUGGUGCCCAUUCCCGUCCAGUCUUUAGGUUUGUCCAUCACUCAAACACUUGCCUUUGGAAGGUUUCCUUUUUUUUUUUUUUUUUUUUUUUGAGACAGAGUCUCGCUCUUUUGCCUAGGCUGGAGUGCAGUGGUGCAAUCUCGGCUCACUACAACCUCCGCCUCCUGGGCUCAAGCGAAUCUCCUGCCUCAGCCUCCAGAGUAGCUGGGAUUACAGGCAUGCACCACCACACCCAGCUAAUUUUUGUAUUUUGAGUAGAGACAGCGUUUCACCAUGUUGGCCAGGCUGGUCUCAAACUCCUGACCUUGUGAUCCACCUGCCUCGGCCUCCCAAAGUGCUGGGAUUACAAGUGUGAGCCACUGUGCCCAGCCAGAGAGGUAUGAGCCACAGUGCCAGGCCAGAGAGGUUUGCCACCAAGCAGCAUAAACAUCAUCUUCACCUAUGUGUGUGGAGUAACUUGAAUUUUCCCACCCUAGGAAAUGUUCUGCUUGUGGUUUAUGCUGAGGGACUUGGCUAAAAAUGUCAAUUCUGUUAUUUGAGAAUUCUUAAGAGAAAGCAUCAGUCUCUAAAUGUGCUUAAAGUGGAUAUAAUUGGAUUUCACAAAUCUUUUUCUAUUUUCCUUUAAGAAUAUUCUGUACAUAAAGAAAUGAUACCAUCAAGAAAUAAAUACAGUUGGUGAACCAACCAUCUUGUGCUACAUCUCUGAAUGGUGCUCCACACAGUAACAUCCCAGAAAGGUGUUAGAAAUGAGAUGUCUUUUACAGUCAGCAUUUGGGGGAGGUCACAGAAUACCGUGUUAACUUCCUAGACUCAAGGAAAGGAACAAUGCCAGACCUUUUACAAAACCUAUUAAAUCAGAGAUCUGCAAAGGAAUCUUGUGAUAGACGAGAACCUUUAGUCACCUUAAUUUAAUUAACUUGUUUGGUGUGUGAAUAUAAGCCUUCAUGUUUCAGUUUUUCAGGUUAUCUAAUUUUGAUACAACAAGCCCGAAGGGUCCUAGAGAGAAAGACGUGACUUUAUGAACCUUAUGGCAUCCCACAUAUGUCUCAUCAUGAUAUUGAUGCCUCCUAAUCAGAAGGUCCUCUGUGCUACGUAUCAUUGUCUGUGCCCUGCGGCUGGUAGUGUAUAGUAAAUAAACACGUGCUUCCAGUUUCAAACAUUGUGUAGCCAAAAACUUUAAAGUAGGCUUCACCUACGUGAGUGAAACCUGCAAGAUUUGCAAGAUUAUGCAAAAAUUCUUCCAGAGCCUUUACUAUGCUAAUGUGUAUCAAAAAACUCCAUUGGGGAGUAAGAGUAAAAUAGAUUGCUUCCCACACUCCUUUCACCAGGGAACUCUUUUCUGCUAGGCAUCUAUUGAGGCCAGUGUUCCAUGAGUCAUACUUCCUUCUUACUUUGCAGUGAAUGGAUGAGAAUCAGUGGCAAGUGUGUUGUUAAGACAUUCACCUAGAGAGUUGGGUGUCACCAUAUAUGAUAGACACAGACUCUGAUGUCUGUGUGUGUGUGUGUAUGUACAUGUAGGUAUAUAAGUGUGGGUAUGUAUGUAUAUGUAGGAGGGGUGUGUGUGUGUGUGUGUGUGUGUUAUAGAAAGAGGGAGAAAGACAGGGCAAAGGAAAAGGAAGAAGAGGAAAGAUGAAUUGGCCAGGGAACAGGCCAUCUGAUUGAACCUAGGAUUUAUUUACCAUUUCAGCUGCAUAGAUGUAACAUAUUUGCAGGGUUUUGCCUCUUUAUUUCAACAUUAAUUUAGCAGCUUCACAAUUCUAAGUACCGACAUUUAAUAAAGUUUGUGUGAAUUAAUAAAUGUAUGAAUGAAUGCCUCAAAGGUCCCCUUUAUUGUGCAUGGUUUCCUGACAUUAUCUGAAACGGUUUUGAAAGAGGGUUUUUCUUGGGGACUCGCAGAUGCCAACUGAGGACAAUUAUUAUGAAUAUCUGCAAAGCUGAGCCUUCAAUGUUCACCUCAGGGGGUAUUUUAAGGAAAAAGGAAAAAGAAAAGUCUUUCAUUUGCUUUGCUGACACCUAAUAUGUUUUGAGUAAAAAAUCCAUUUUAAACAGGUAAAUAACUGGUUGUUUAUUUGGAACAGAAAAUGCAUUUAUGCCAAUUGAUAAUCUAUUAAUUUAGUAAGAAAAUAUAUUUUCCAAAGCAUAUUUGAAUAAUAGGCAUAAUAUAAUACAUUUUAAAGCUUUUUCCAACUGGCUUCUAUUUCCAGUUUUUUAUUAAAAUACACACUUGAAACUUUUAUGUUUUCAAUAGCACUAAAUUAAAAGAAUCAGGUUUUCAUUUACACAAUUAUUUUUUAACAUUAAGUUUUAAAAUAAUCAUUGUAUCUUAGUGAGCUGGAUUUUUUUUUUUCCAAUAAACCGCUUCCAAGAAUGCAGGAAUAUCCGUGUGUAUAUCAUACAGCUCCCAGACAUACACAUGGACACAUUCGUCUUCCGUUGAUCAAUUUAUAACUCGUCCACUGCUGAGCAGAAAUCUUAGGGAGUAGAGUAGAGCUAGCUUCUUGAAUUGCCAUUGCUGAGGAGUAUGAAGUUUAAUUACAUGGGAAGGAUACAUUUCCUUUGUGUUACACCAAGGAUACAUGUGGUUUUGAUGAGGAAUAAGCAUUCCUUCAAGGAAGACAGAUAACACGCCAAGACUACUAGAAAGUACUCACAAUGUAAUGAAAAGUAGGAUGGUAAAGAUACUAAACUCUGUGAGGGAAGAUUCCAUUAUAUAAUGGUGCAUAGGAAGAAAAUGAAAGUAUGCCAAAAUGCCAGUGAGAUUGUCAUUGGUUGAUGGAUUUAUGAGCAGUUUUAAUUAUCCUCUGUAUGCUUUUCCUUAUAUUCCAAAUUUCUACAAUGAGCUAUGGUUACUCAGAAAACAAAUGUUAUAAAAAAAAAAAAUACUCGACUCUUUCUUUUCCCACUCAAUUUCACUAUCCUCUUCCUCCAACCUGGUACAACAGACAGUAAGCCCACUACACAUAACUAGAGGUAUUUUGCACUUCUGCAUGGUGUAGAUUCUGGCUAAAAUCACUUUAAAAGAACACCAAAUACACUGUAGAUGGGGGAAAAAAAGAAAGAAGGGCACAGUAGCGUUCUAUCCAUGUGAUGCUGUGGGCUUAUUUCCUGUAAAAACAUAUGACUGGAAAUUUUGUUAAUAUAUAUCAUUCACACAGGACUGUUAAAUAAGAAAUUGAGUCAUUUUUCAGUGUGAGAAAGUCUGUAUGAGAAAGAAAGUUACAUGGACAAAAUGCUAAUUAGCAAUUUUAUGAAUGCAAGAUCCAAGCUAGGAAAAGGAAAAUUUUCUGAAUAUUAAUCUCUCUGUCCAGAUAAGAGUGAACUAUUAUUUAUAAACAUACUGCUGUUGGCCUGAUGACAGUGAAAACACUUUGCCAAAUAUUUCUUCCCUAUAUAUAUAUGAUAUGUCUGGCCCAUGCUACGGUUAUAUAUCUACUUCAGUCUAAUUUACUUUCUCACAAUUGUGGGCCAAUUAAACAUACUGUAGCAUACUUAGUCAAUAAGUUUUUUUUUUUUUUACUUAACACUGAUAAUAUUUUUAUGUUUUAUGCUCUAAAAUGCAGCUGCCAGUGAAUUUAUGGAGAGAGAAAGAUAUCUUUGAACUUGCUGAAAAACCUGAAAAUUUCCUGUGAAACUUGGGUGAAAAGAUUGUUUCUUAAGCUUUAGAAAUAAAAUGUAAAAUGCCUUUUAAAGAAGUUCAUGAUAAGGGCAGUUCAUUUGUGAUGGAAGGGUAUGAUUUCCAUUUUUGAAGAGAAAACAUAUUGAGUCUUCCCCUGGCUGACCCUGCGUCUCCCCUCUCCCAACCACUUUAUAUCAUGUGAUGCAAUCAGCAGAGGCCGAGGGGCCUCCUUUCUAUUGCCCAUUGAUUUCUUUUAAUAAUGUCAUAGAGAUUACAGCUGUAGCGUGCACGUUAAGUGCCUCCUGCCAAAGCAGGAUUGGUCCUUCUAGUUGGCUUUUAAGUUUAGGGUUAAAUGACCUCAGUAUUGUACUUCCAGCACAUUCCCUGAGAUUCAGCCCCAGCAGGUCAGUGUCCCAAUAGUCAGCUUAAAAAAUCGGCUGAAUAUUUUGUCUCUCCCUUAUUGCUGAAAAAAAAUUCUAUUCCCUCCAGGGUGUUCUCAUUCUGGAAACAGAAGCCCAGAAUAAGAAUGCUUUAAAAAAAUUUGCCACUACCGCAUGUUCUCACUAGGGUGUUGAACAAUGAGAACACAUGGACACAGGGAGGGGAGCAUCACAC